AGAGUUUGAUCCUGGCUCAGGAUGAACGCUGGCGGCGUGCCUAAUACAUGCAAGUCGAGCGAAUGGAUUAAGAGCUUGCUCUUAUGAAGUUAGCGGCGGACGGGUGAGUAACACGUGGGUAACCUGCCCAUAAGACUGGGAUAACUCCGGGAAACCGGGGCUAGUACCGGAUAACAUUUUGAACCGCAUGGUUCGAAAUUGAAAGGCGGCUUCGGCUGUCACUUAUGGAUGGACCCGCGUCGCAUUAGCUAGUUGGUGAGGUAACGGCUCACCAAGGCAACGAUGCGUAGCCGACCUGAGAGGGUGAUCGGCCACACUGGGACUGAGACACGGCCCAGACUCCUACGGGAGGCAGCAGUAGGGAAUCUUCCGCAAUGGACGAAAGUCUGACGGAGCAACGCCGCGUGAGUGAUGAAGGCUUUCGGGUCGUAAAACUCUGUUGUUAGGGAAGAACAAGUGCUAGUUGAAUAAGCUGGCACCUUGACGGUACCUAACCAGAAAGCCACGGCUAACUACGUGCCAGCAGCCGCGGUAAUACGUAGGUGGCAAGCGUUA
rnacentral:rRNA from 1 species